UGGGGAAUAUUGGGCAAUGGGCGCAAGCCUGACCCAGCAACGCCGCGUGAGGGAAGAAGGCUUUCGGGUUGUAAACCUCUGUCCUUGGUGACGAAAAAAAUGACGGUAGCCAAGGAGGAAGCCCCGGCUAACUACGUGACAGCAGCCGCGGUAAUACGUAGGGGGCGAGCGUUGUCCGGAAUUACUGGGCGUAAAGGGUGCGUAGGUGGCCCGUUAAGUUGGAUGUGAAAUCCCCGGGCUUAACUUGGGAGGUGCAUCUAAUACUGGAGGGCUAGAGUGCAGGAGAGGGUAGCGGAAUUCCUAGUGUAGCGGUGAAAUGCGUAGAUAUUAGGAGGAACACCAGUGGCGAAGGCGGCUUUCUGGACUGUAACUGACACUGAGGCACGAAAGCGUGGGGAGCAAACA
rnacentral:rRNA from 1 species